UCCUCCCUCUUUCUUCGUGCUUAACACAUGCAAGUCGAACGGUGAAGCGCCUUCCUUUUUGGUGGGUGUGGAUGAGUGGCGAACGGGUGAGUAACACGUGAGUAACCUGCCCCCUUCUUCUGGAUAACCGCAUGAAAGUGUGGCUAAUACGGGAUAUUCUGGGUCUGUCGCAUGAUGGGUCUGGGAAAGAUAUUGUUUCGGUGGGGGAUGGGCUCGCGGCCUAUCAGCUUGUUGGUGGGGUGAGGGCCUACCCAGGCGGUGACGGGUAGCCGGCCUGAGAGGGUGGACGGUCACACUGGGACUGAGACACGGCCCAGACUCCGACGGGAGGCAGCAGGGGGGAAUAUUGCACAAGGGGCGCAAGCCUGAUGCAGCGACGCCGCGUGAGGGAUGGAGGCCUGCGGGUUGUGAACCUCUUUCGCCAGUGAAGCAGGCCUGCCUCGUCUGUGGGUGGGUUGACGGUAGCUGGAUAAGAAGCGCCGGCUAACUACGUG
rnacentral:rRNA from 1 species